UGACAUGCAGAAUACCUUAUUGUCACUCUGGAGAGUUUAGAAAGACUAAAUAUCUGUAUCAGGAAAGUCUUACUAAUCUGAUCAACUUCUUUCAUUAGGUGAUGAAAAACAUGAUUUAUGAAAAAUCAACAUUCAGUUAUUAAAGAAACCCAGAGAAGGCUUGUUGUGUAAAGUGAGUGCUUAAUGUUCCUAAAAAAACAAAACUCAUGGGGUGUAGAUGAGUUUUCUUAAUCCUCAUG
rnacentral:lncRNA from 1 species